UCUAAGUGGUGUUGCCAGCAUCUCAGAUAGCAUCCGACACUGACUCUUCUGCAGAAACAAAAUAGCGUAUUUCAGUGGCUUUAUUUGUAACUCGGCAAAUGAAGGUCCCACCUUGUUUUAAAGAUACAGUCAAUAUAGGAGGCAUGCCAAGCUAUCUUAUCCACAUUCAACACAAUUAUAAUGAAAGUAAACCAGCUCUGGAAGACAGUUCCCAGAAAUUAAUUAUCGCACAGAAAGUGAACACAACAGCCUUUUGUUAUCAUGAUAAUGAAAUCACCACCACCUUAAUACUUGACAAACUUGGCCAUGCCUCUGUUGAAUUUCUGCUGAAUAAACUGGAAAAAUGUUGCAA